UUAGUGAUCAUUCUAGUCUUCGACCGUCUUACGUAGACCACCACAUGUUAAUUUUGUUCUCCGUAAGAUAUCCACCAUACAUGCUUAGUAUGCUUCAAACUCAAACACUCAACCCUACCUCACCUAUUUAACUUAGUUAGACUUGAUACCAAGGUCAGGAGAUUGUUGAGUCCUCGUGGCUCACAGAUUACUACAAACACCCACAGGUACAGGUACCCCAGAUGCAGGAGUUCCCGAUGACAACCAGUUGAAGUGGGAGUUCGACGAGGAUAGUGGCAGGAUGUAUGCGACUUAUCCCGAGAACUAGAGGUGUGUGGUCGUGAUCGUGGGACUAGCAUGAUGGGAUAGCAUAUUUUACCGUUUAUCUUGUCCAUAGUCGGACCGUGUCUUAUGUAUGAAUAAUGAAUGCUUGUGUGGAUUGUAAUUUAGCAUGUGGCGAGUGUAAGAUGGAUCUUAUACCCAUCUCUCUAUUUAUGUAAUGGCAUUGUUAUCCUACUUGCGAAACGCUUAGAUGCGACCCUUUGCCCUUUUGAGGCCUCGCCCCCAAAUAAGGAAAGUGACG
rnacentral:lncRNA from 1 species